UGAAAGAAGAAAUUCUAUGACUUGGGGUAGUAAUAGACAAUCUAAGACUGUUUUUCCAGUUACAGUCUUUUCUAAUGGAAGGGAUUGUGAGUUCGGUUACUAAAGUAUGAUAAGUAUCGGCUUUAUCCAAACCAGCGACUUGCUUUUCAAGAGAUUGUCCAUCACUGAUAAAAGAUAAAUCGCCGGUACGAUUUCAUCCUCUAAAG
rnacentral:lncRNA from 1 species